GAUGAACGCUGGCGGCGUGCCUAAUACAUGCAAGUCGAGCGAACAGACGAGGAGCUUGCUCCUUUGACGUUAGCGGCGGACGGGUGAGUAACACGUGGAUAACCUACCUAUAAGACUGGGAUAACUUCGGGAAACCGGAGCUGAUACCGGAUAACAUGUUGAACCGCAUGGUUCAACAGUGAAAGACGGUCUUGCUGUCACUUAUAGAUGGAUCCGCGCCGCAUUAGCUAGUUGGUAAGGUAACGGCUUACCAAGGCAACGAUGCGUAGCCGACCUGAGAGGGUGAUCGGCCACACUGGAACUGAGACACGGUCCAGACUCCUACGGGAGGCAGCAGUAGGGAAUCUUCCGCAAUGGGCGAAAGCCUGACGGAGCAACGCCGCGUGAGUGAAGAAGGUCUUCGGAUCGUAAAACUCUGUUAUUAGGGAAGAACAAAUGUGUAAGUAACUAUGCACGUCUUGAUGGUACCUAAUCAGAAAGCCACGGCUAACUACGUG
rnacentral:rRNA from 1 species